AUCAACAUGCAAGCUACAGAAUCAAACAAAAAUGAUUAAUCUGAUUCAUGUCACUAAGGCCCUUUUACAAAUCUUAUAUCAUUCAAAUAGCUUAGUCAACAUCCAUAGCAUGCUCACUAGUAGUGCUGCUGGUCCACAGCUUUAUGGUGCGAUCAUGGGAGACAGUAACAAUAUACCCACCAUCUGCAGAUAGUAACAAUACAUGCCAAAAUCAGUACAAGACAGGCAAAAAUACAAGGACAAUUUACAGGAUUAUAGUUGGAAGCUUUUAUACUGUGUCAAGAAACUUGUUCAAUAUAUAAUAUAAUCGGCG
rnacentral:lncRNA from 1 species